rnacentral:rRNA from 1 species
AACGAACGCUGGCGGCAUGCCUAACACAUGCAAGUCGAACGAGACCUUCGGGGCUAGUGGCGCACGGGUUCGUAACGCAUGGGAGCCUGCCAUUAGGUUCGGAAUAACUCCCCGAAAGGGGUGCUAAUACCGGAUAAUGUCUUCGGACCAAAGCUUUAUCGCCUUGGUUGGGCCCUCGUUGGAUUAGCUAGUUGGGAGGGUAAAAACCUACCAAGGCGACGAUCCAUAGCUGGUCUGUGAGGAGGAUCAGCCACACUGGGACUGAGACACGGCCCAGACUCCUACGGGAGGCAGGAGUGCGUAAUAUUGCACCAUCGGCGAAAGCAUGAUCCCGCUAUGCCGCGUGAGUGCUGAAGGCCUUAGGGUUGUAAAGCUCUUUUACCCGGGAUGAUCAUGACAGUACCGGGAGAAUAAGCCCCGGCUAACUCCGUG